CCCUACAGACAUGACCACAGGCCAAUCCCAUAGAGGAAAUUCCUUAACUGAAGCUCCCUCUACUCAGAUUCUGUUUACUUCUGAGGAGCACACCAGGGUCCUCAGAGAAGCAGCCUGCUCUGUCCUUGGAUGAGACAGACUAACUGUUACAGAAUGGGAGGAGAUUGAGGAAGUGUCCCCAACCACCCCUCUGGACUGGGACCCUAAUACCUCACACAGUAGGGAGAACUUAUACCGGUAUUGCCAGACUCUGUUACGGGGACUCAGGGCUGCGGUUAGGAAGCCCACAAAUCUUUCAAAGAGAGACACAUCUGGAAGUGACUCUCCUCCAGUAUGUGGAUGACCUGCUCCUGGCUGCAGUCUCUGAGGAGACCUGUGGCCAAGCCACCGAAGGCCUGCUAAGGGAACUGGCUCAUCUAGGGUAUAGGAUAUCAGCCAAAAAGGCCAAGGUAUGUCAGAACAGUGUGAUAUUUGGGAUAUACUAUCCAUGAAGGAAAAGAGGUUGCUGGGAACAGAGAGACUAUAUACAAUAUUAAGUAUUCCUACCCCUAGGAACAGGUGGCAAGUCAGAGAAUUUUGGGGGGCUGCUGGGUAUUGCUGUCUUUGGAUACCCAGGUUCGCUGAGUUAGCAAAACCCUCAUAUGCUGCCACCAGCAAUUUGGGAGAGGACUUUAAGUAGGGUGAGGACGAGGACGAGGCCUUUGCCUGAUUGAAACAAGCCCAGCCUUAACAUUGCCUGAUGUGACUAAGCCAUUUCAGCUGUUUGUACAUGAGACAUGGGGUAUAGCCAAGAGAAUGCUUACCCAAGAACUGGGACCGCGAAGGAGACCUGUGGCCUAUCAUCUCUUUAAAAGGCUUGAUCCAGUCGCUAUGGGGUGGCCAAGUUGCUUGUGCUCCAUAGUGGCCAUGACCAUUCUGGUAAAGGAGGCUAUGAAGCUGACUUUGAGACGAGAUCUUCAAAUUGUGAGCCCCCAUACAGUUGAAGCCACCCUGAGGGUCCCACCUGAGAGAUGGAUUUCCAAUGCACGCAUCACCCAGUACCAAGUGUUCUUACUAAAGCCUCCACACAUCACCUUCCUCAGGACCGAAGCACUAAAUUCUGCCACCCUGUUGCCAGAUGAUGACCCUGAUGCACCCCUCCACGGCUGCCUAGAGACUGCAUUGCAGUCCACACUCCCUGAGAUUCACAAGUGUGUGAAGGAGGACCAGGCAGAGACAGCAGAGCCCCAUGACUUGCCUUGUACAAUGGUGGACCCCAGCACCUGGGUUUGGGUACACUGACAUUCUGCUCCAGAUUUUGAGGCUCGCUGGGCUGGACCAUACCCUGUUGUUCUAAGCAUCCUGUCUGCAGUCAAGGUGGCUGGUUACAGUCACUGGAUGCACGGUUCUCAAACUAAAGAAGCGCACCCAGAUCAUAUCCCCCAGUCAUGGAGCCUCAAGAACCCCGGCAAUCCUUUAAAACUCAAGCUGGUAAAGAACCCCUCUGGACUAUCCUAAUAUUGUUUUCUCUCCUCUUUUCAGCCCCCUCUAUCCAUGCCCCUGCCUUUUAUCAUUAGGUCUUAAGUCACACCUCUGAGGAUCGUGUUAUAGGAAAUGUCACUUCUUAUGGGACUCCUGAGAUUCCAGUGUUUAAAUUUGACCUUUGCGAGCUGUUCUUCCCUGGGGGCUCAUGGUGUGAAACAAGGACCUUUGGAAGUGUUAUAGAGGGGCAGCAAUUCUAUGCCUGUCUGGUUGCUGGGGCCACAAAAUGUAGCACCCCAGGACAAUGGCAAUGUGGAGAAUGGGGUUGUGACAACUUGGGAAGGAUAAAUGGAUCUCCCUAAAGAGAGGGACUUCCGAUUGUUCUGUCCCUCCCUAUAGGUCCCAAUCAGGUUUUAAAUCCACAGUCUGACAUCAGACAGGAACCCAUCCCAGGGACUAUUUAGGUUGUCAGUGUAGCAUGCCCCCGACUAGAGGAUGUCCAUCUUGUCACCUUACGUAACAUGGCUAGUUAUUUUUCCAGUUUCCCUGAAACUACCCCCUCCCCACACCCCUGGGGGGUUGAGAGUUCCUGGAAUUGACCACAUGUCCAGCCAAGAUGCUUGCUCUGGCAGUUGGAAAACAAUUUAAUUGGUCUGUUUAAGAUGAAAACCAACUGUGAACUUUAACUGACUUAUGCAAAUAAGUACUUGAGUUUGAAACAUAAUGAUUGGUCCCUUAUAUUCCUGCUUUUGCAAACCACCCGAGUGUGUAUAAAAAGUCCUUGCAAACUCAUACAGGCUGCUCGCUGUAUGCACUCCGAGUGCAGGGACAGCCUGGCCGUAAAAUAAAUCUCCCUUACCUCAACUUUGACCUCAUGGCGUGGCUUGAUUUCCAACCUACAACAGUCAGGCUUACAGGCAACCACUUUACCCACUAAGUGUUUUACCAACCCUAGGCAAACCUUUCUUUUUACAAGGUCAGGGAGGUGUGUGUGGGGUACGUGCAUGUGAGUGUAGGUGCACAUGAAGGCCAAUGCACAUGAAGGCCAGAAGUGUCAGAUCCCCCUGAUGCUGGGGUUACAGGUAGUUGUGAGCCACCCAACGUUGAGUCCUGGGAACCAAACUGAACCAAACCUGUCCUCUCCAAGAGCAGUAAGCACCUUUAACUGAGCCAUCUCUCCAGCCCCUAGAUAAGCCUUUCUUAAGUAUCCUUUUCACCUUUCCCAGAAAUCCCUUUGCCUUGGCCCUCUCUUUGGAGUGUAGACCCCCUGGCACCAGGGAGGGACCUCAGGGUCCUGCAGGAAUGUUCAGACGGGCACUAAGAUAGACAAGUGCUGAAAAGUACAAGAUAAGCUCUGGGGUGGCUGGGUGUGGGGCAAAGAUAAGGGCUUGGUCUAUGUCUCAGUUUAAAGGGCAAGACAGUUCCAAUUAUGUCCCUAAAGGCUUAGUGUGAAUUGCAGUCACAUCCUUAAGAGCUUUACCAUGAGCUUGAAUAAAGCAUUACAGGAGUAGAGGACUCCUUAGUGCCUUA